CCAUAGCAGCAUGCCAAUUCAAUCCGCUUUACUAGGCCAAACUCGCUGAAAACAGUAAUUCAUUUUUUUUAAAAUCACAUCCUUAAAUAGAAAAUGGCCGUAGAAAUUUCCAUAAAUAAAAUAAAAAUAGCAGCACACAUAGUUCACAACAUAUUAGUAUCGACGAACAUAUAUAUUUAUAUAUAGGACGACAUAUAUCAAUAUAAUAACCAUCGAAAAAUUAGUUUUGUGUUUUCUAUCACACUCCAAACAAGCUCCCACAUAUGGGUAUUGCUCAUCAGAAUCUUCAAUUGCAUAUCUAUAAUAUCUAUACAAGGAGAGCGACCAACUCUAAAGCUCACCUCUCAACCAUCCACAUCACCCCCUACCCGGC
rnacentral:lncRNA from 1 species